rnacentral:misc_RNA from 1 species
UAAUUUUUUUUUUUUUUUUUUAAAGUGCAUUUAAAGACCAUUAAUACUUUUUGUCCUAUAACUAACUGCAGUAACGAGUUUCGAUUUGAAUAAAGACAUUGCUAAACAAUUGAGCAGUUGGAGCAGUUGUUUUGUUGUUCUUCAUUGCUAAAUCAUUUGACAAUAAUAUAGUAUUGAAAUAUUCCAUUACUCAUUGCCUGUAUAUCACACUAGUGCAUACGACUCCAUUUAGUUAAUGCCUUGUCCCUAAUUGAAAUGCAAUCAUAAAUAAACAAAUUAAAAAAUAAAAUUUAUUAACAUCUUCAGCCAAUAAUCUUUGGCACAUAUGAUAUGACAAUUGGGUUGCUUUCCCCAUCUAGCUCCAUCUCCCUAAUGCAAUGACCAACAAGACGAAGGCAGACCCUGCUUAUGUCAAGGGAGGGAGAUUAUACUUUGGCAGUUCAUAAACAAAUUUAUUGUCGUAAAAAGAACCAACAGCAUCACACAAGACAACAUUCUCAUCUCUGUUUAAUCCAGACAGCAGCAUCAAUAAAAUGAUUCCCUCCUAUUACCGCCCACACCUAAACCACAACCCUCUUAAUUAAUCCUGCAGAUGUUUAUUAAGUAGCAUUAGCCUAUGAACUAAUUGAAUUGGGCACCUCAUGCCUCGUCGUCACCAAUAUUAAUAGCAAAAUGCCCAACAUUUCUAUCCUGGAAAAUCAGAAAAACAAAAUGUCAAUAAAGUAGAUGAAAAAGAUCAAUCGAUAAUGUUACACAACAAGUUCUAACAUUAAACAUGUCAAACCAUCAGGCUUAUAGCUGCUGUAUCUCACAACAAAAACGUUGUUAUCGAACAAAAGCAUGUAAAGGCAAUUCAGUUAUCUGUAUCAUAUGAAGAAGGAAACACCUUAGACAACAUCCGCUGCUUGUUCAGAUAUUGGGUCCUGGCUUUGUUGAGGACUGAAUUUGGGGACUUGUACAUCCUCUGUAACAAGGAUUAUCAUUUUUUAAACGUCCACCAGGAAAAAUACAGCCAAAAACAAAUUGUUUUAUAGGCCAAGGAAUGAUCAAAGCAGCACAAAAAAAGUACAUACUUAUCAACUUUAAAUAGAGGCCAAACAUGUAAGUUCACUUUAUUUUCGUCCACUCUCUCACUAUGGAAAACUGGUGUUACGCGUUAAUAUUAGCCGACAACAACACCCUAAACUCCAAGUGCAUGCAUUUGACCAUUUGAGAACCCAUAAAUCACAGAAGCUCAAGCUAGGAAAUCACAGAAUCAGCACAAUGUACUGCAUACGAGGAAUGAUAGGAACUCACCUUUUCACUAUUAGACAUCUUACGUUCGACGCCUUGAAGAUAUUUCUUCUCAGGCAUGAACCCAAAGAUAUCAUGGAGGAGGUCAUUAUCCUGCAUGUGCUUAAUGAACCCACUGCCAAGAAAGUGCUUUAAAAAGUUCAACUGUCAAAGAUAUCAGAUCAGAAACACUUUCAACCACAAGCCAAAAUCACUAAUAUGACAGAAAUUAGAAAAGGAGGGAAAAACCUGGAUCAGUUGAGACCAUGUAGAUGUCUGCAGUGAAUUUCCUCCAAUCUUCAUUGAGGUUUCAGGGCAAUAACCAUACUCAAGAAACUUCAAGAAAUCCCUAAAUAAGUUCCGCUGGUUACUAAGAUCUUUCUUAUUGGAUCCUUUUCCACCUGCCUCUGCAGAAAGGCUUCUUACUUGAUUUAAGAUUUUAGUUUUCAAUCCUUGUACUUGUGUAAAUUCUUCCCAAGAUUUUUUCCCUUCUUGAACUGAGCCAUCAGUAGAACCUUCAGCUUCCGCAGUAAACUUUUCUAAACCUUCCAUCUCAAAAAUUAAAGCUAGUGUUUCACCAGCUGCAAUGCGUAUCGAACGGUCAUCCUUAUCCAGCAGAUCAGAAAAAAAAGAAAUUGACUCUUGCCAAUCUUUAGGAUCAAGUGUCCGUUCAUCCAUGGUUGUUAGAAGAAAGGCCCAGGCAGACACCACUGCUGUUAUUACAGGCGCAGUAGAUUUGCCAGCAAUUACAUUAGACCCAAGUUUAGGGCGGACCAAUUGCCACAUGAUUUGCAUUGAGCGCUUAGCUUCUGCUGGCUCAUUUCCUCCAACAAAAGUGACAACAGCCAAACACUCCAGUAGCUUCUUUGAGGAUUCAGACCUAGAUUUAAGAGCUUGGGAAAGAGGAAUGACUGACUCUUCCAAUAUUUCAUGUGCAUUAUCACCACAGCCAACUGUCAAAGCCAACAAUCCAAUGGCAUGAGAAGCUAGAGCUAUCUCUUUGCUCGAACCUUUUUUUAUACAACUAAGACAUUGAUGUAAUAAAGUAGCAAAAUUCUUUUCCACAAAUUGAUGCUGCAUAUUGCUAUUGAAUGCGUCAAUAAUUGAUGCCAAAGCUCCCUCUCUUGUCGAACCCCUCUUCUCGUAUAAAGCAUCUAAAGCCUGUUCUAAUAAACUAUCUUUAUCGAGCUGAACUUCCUUGGUUCCCAACACCGACAAGCGAUCCGAUUUAAUAGUAGAUGAGGAACUCACACUACUAUUAUCAUCGUCAUCGGUAUCCAACAUGGCAAUAUUUUUACGCUGAGCAUUACGUCUUCCCAUGGCUUGUGGCUGCUGCGGUUGUUAUGUAGCUCCGCGUCAAAAGACGAUACAGGGUCGACUAGGAAUCUGAAAAGUAUAGGAUUCAGCAGAAAACAAAAGAUGAAGAGAAUAAAAUUGAAGGAAAAUAAGAAAAGAAGAAGAAGAAGACGACGACGACAGAGAUGAGCCGAAUGAGGAAAUAGCCAUUAAAAUUACAGAGGUUAAUAAAACAGAAAGCUUUGCAAUAGAAAUUGGCAUAAAUAGAACAAGCAACAAACAAAAUUAGGAGAGGGUUUCAAAUUUUAAUUUAAGCUUUUUCCAGGCGAGAGAUAGCAUACAGAGGAGCAUCGCCAUAGAAAAAAGGUUUAUUCAAAUCCGGUAGUAUGGAAUAUUCCGUCAGCGAGUAGUCAAGAACAGAUGCGUUAUUUGUGUCGCAAUACGUGGCAUCAUCUGAACCGUUGGAUUACUUUGCUUGGACCCACGUGAGCGGUAUUUUGGAAUGACCGAGACACGUGAUUUUAGAUAGUGGUGGAGCUAUAACCGUUUGAAAUAGUGGCGCG